rnacentral:lncRNA from 1 species
AUGCCUGAGCAGGACAAGGACCCUAGAGUCCAAGAGAAUCCUGAUGAUCAGAGAAGGGUCCCCGAGGUCACCGGGGAUGCACGGUCUGCAUUUCGGCCCCUGCGGGACAAUGGAGGCCUCUCUCUCCCUUUGUGCCCGGGCCCGGGCCUCUGCAGACAGACCUCCAUACCCAGAGGUGAGAAAUCAGAUAUAACCAGACAUCCCAGACCUCCUGGACGAGCUCCUGCACCAAACGAAAUGCCAUCUCCAGCUCCUGCAGCUCCACGGGAGGCUUGCCGGGGCUAAAGCGGAGGAGGGGACCAGCCUCAUCCCACAGCCAGCUGACCCUCAGUUCCUCAAAGACAGUGGGUGAGGACAGGCUUCAGGCUGUCUCUUCGGGUCACACCCAGUGUGAAAAGGCAGCAGAUAUAGCACCAGGGCAGACACUCACCCUCAGGAAUGACUCCUCCAUAUCCGAGGCCUCUAGGCCCAGUAUACACAAGUUUCCCCUGCUGCCAUGCAGGCGAGGGGAGCCUUUGAUGCUGCCACCUCCCUUAGAGCUGGGGUACCGGGUCACUGUUGAAGACCUGGACCGGGAGAAGGAGGCAGCAUUCCAGCGCAUCAAUAGUGCACUGCAGGUUGAGGACAAGGCCAUCUCGGACUGCAGACUCUCACGGCCUUCCCACACUUUGUCCUCACUUGCAACAGGGACUUCUGGUCUGCCUGCCGUUUCUAAAGCACCCAGUAUGGAUGCACAGCAGGAGAGACACAAGUCCCAAGACUGCCUGGGCCUACUGGCCCCCCUAGCACCUGCUGCAGAGGUCCCCUCUACAGCUCCCAUGUCUGGGAAGAAGCACAGACCACCAGGCCCCCUGUUCUCCUCCUCAGAUCCCCUUCCUGCCACCUCUUCCCACUCCCAGGACUCAGCCCAGGUCACCUCGCUGAUUCCUGCCCCCUUCCCAGCUGCAAGCAUGGAUGCGGGCAUGAGAAGAACAAGCCCUGGCACUUCUGCUCCUGCAGCCGCAGCAGCCCCUCCCCCCUCCACAUUGAACCCCACGUUGGGGUCACUACUAGAGUGGAUAGAGGCCCUUCACAUUUCUGGGCCUCAGCCACAGCUGCAGCAGGUGCCCAGAGGUCAGAACCAGAGAUCCCAGACCUCCCGGACCAGCUCGUGCCC